rnacentral:rRNA from 1 species
CAGAAGCUAAGCCGGAGUAGCCUUGGAGGGGCUCGGGAGAAACGAGUGGAUGUCCGAACUAUGGGGCUCUGGCUACAACGGGGACACUAGCUGAUGCAGCUGCUGCUGGGGAGGAACGGUCUCGUUAGUCUCUACAGCCUCGGGUCCUAGGUCUGCGGUGGAAACUGCUGCUGAUGGUGUUGGGGCUCCCACGGAUGAUGAUUCACCUCCUGCGGUUGCUGGUCCUCAUCAAUCCUCCGAGGGUCCGUCCUCCGGAACGGAAAAGCUAGCAUCUACGAAAACACGAUCGGAAGAAUUCCGUUUGAACAGAUUGAAUACAGACAUGAGUCUAUAACAACGAAGGCGACUGAGAACACAUAAGCUCGAAUACAUAAGCUCGGGGGCUCCGGGUACCGAAC